UCUCCGUUAGUGAACCAGCGGAGGGAUCAUUACAGAGUUGCAAAACUCCCAAACCAUUGUGAACGUUACCUAUCCCGUUGCUUCGGCGGGCGGCCCGGGCCCCGCGCCCGGCGCCCCCCGGCCCCCCGUGGGCGCCCGCCGGAGGUAAACCAAACCCUUGAAUUGCAUGGCCUCUCUGAGUCUUCUGUACUGAAUAAGUCAAAACUUUCAACAACGGAUCUCUUGGUUCUG
rnacentral:misc_RNA from 1 species